GAUUUUGUGUCACAAGGGACACAACUCGAAUACGAAUUCGAACUCGCAUUCGAGUUGUGGCAGGCAAAUGCGACUAAAGGCGACAGCGUCAGUUUGAAUACUUCGCCUUAAUUAUCAACGCAUGAUGUUUUGGUGAUUUCAUCUGCAUAUUUUUGCGAUGCAAAGAAAAAAAAAAGGAGGAGAAACAAAAAACACGACGCUGCGGAGGACAUUGUGUAAACAUUGUACGAGACCAAAAUUUAUGUACAAUACCAGGCACAACUCCAAAACCAAUCCAAAGCAGAAAACCAAAACGAACCGUAGCCAAAGCCAAAGUCGCUGCCAAGCCCAAGACUCAGACUCAGAGUCAGACUCAGAGUCAGACUCUGAGACGCAGUCGAAGUCCAAGUUGCAGUCGCAUUCGCAGUGCAGUCACUGGCAGCAAUGAGCAAACGUGGCGUGGGGAAGGGGAGUGGGAAAACCGAGCAUUGAGAGCUACUUGUUUCCCACCAUAAAUUCACGCCAAUAAGCACAAACAAAACAAACUACUCAACGGAAUUCCCAAUCCUCCUCCUCCUUCUCCCCCUCAUCCUCCGACUGCACACAUGAGUACGAAGGGAAUUGGAUGCCACACGGUAAAAAUUUGUGACCUUUGGCAGUAAACGCAAUUUGAGGCAGCUCCACCACAACACACAGUAAAAAAAAAAAAAAAAAACAACUAAAUCGAUGUGUCUCCCCUCGAAAAAAGUCUGAUAAUGGAAGACAAACAGCUGGGCAGGAAUGUUGAACAUGGGGAUAACAAGUUGUUGUUGGACGCUUGUUAAAUUCUAAUUAUUAUAAUUAAUUGCAACAGCAGUGGCUGCGACUGCGACUGCGACUGCGACAGCGGCACUCGAAUAGACAAACAAACAUAGUCAAAUAAUGAUAUUAAUUGAUUGAAUUACGAGUGCGACUUGCAAAUUCAGAGCCCAAGGGAGAGCCCCCAAAAAAGGGGGCGAAGACGAAGAGAGAAGGCAGCGGGUGAUAUGCCAACAAUUUGUGGCAUAAACAUUCAACAUUCAGCAAUUGAGUUUAGUGGCUGCCUUGGUCGGCAACUUUUCAACACUCACAUGGGAAUUUAUGAAUGCCUCGUCUACGGCUCGCAGACAUUUAUCCAAAAAAAGAAGUCGAUUCGAAUCGAAUGGAAUCGAGUUAAAAACGUGCGACGCCCAAAAAUAGACAUCGGAACAUGGCAGCGCACUCGAAAAUCUCGCAACUGUUUGACGAUUAUUGAAUGGAGGGGACGCAAUCCAAUCCGUGUUUCUGAAUCCCCCUCCUUUUCCUCCUUCACCCGCUCCACACCCAAUCACAAAGUUAUGUCUCCUGCGUUGUGUGCUAUUCCCGAUACCCGCCGACUCGAUUCAUGUUUCAAGUGUUUCGUAAGCGGUUCGCUUAUAUGUAUUUUUGGCAUACGAAAAGGAAAAGUGUAGACAAGGCGACGUUUUUAUGGUAAAUGAUUUAUGCCUCGCCGGGCGCAGCGUCCAAGGUAAUUGAGUGGGAAAUGUUAUCCGCAUUGGGAACUAUUCGGACUCCACAACUGCAACAGCAACAGCAACUGUGACGCUGAUGAAGGAGACAGUGCUUGUGUCUCUCCGACUUUCUGUCCAUGUGUCUUCAGUCUCUGGCAUAUUGUUAGUUGCAUCAAAGACAACAACGACAACCUCGACAACGUCGACGACGACGAUGAGCGGCAAGUGUAAUUAAUGCUGUGAAUUUUGCAUAUUAAAAGAUUUUCCUCCCUCGGUCAUCAAACAAGCGCAUCGGCUUCGUCUUUUUUAAGCACUCUACAGAGGGUACUUCAGCUUCGUCGUUGAGUAUGUAAAGGUGCAAUUAAUUUCACAACAUAUUAAGACUAUCCUAACUAUAUUUAUCAAUCACUCAAAUUAUCAAGAAGAUGAUAUUGCUUCU